CCUCCCAUGACCUCGAAUCCUGCUUCCAGACCUCCCCCAUUUGGUCAACCACCACCUUUUCCUUCUUCGGCCUCAUCACCGGGGUUCCCUGGUUCCUCACCGCCAUUUUCACGACCUGGGCCACCUCCUGGACCCAUGGUGAGGCCUGCAGGGCCUCCUACUGGACAACCAUUGUCUACAUUUCCACCAAAUGUUGCUCCUGGAAGGCCCACUGGGCCACCUCCUGGUCAACCUCCAUCUUUUGUGUCAAGACCCCCUCCAGGCUCUCUUCCACCGGCGGUUAGUGCUGUUGCGCCUGUUUCUGGGGUUCCUCCUCCUGGUGGUUCUCCACAAACCCGUCCGCUA
rnacentral:lncRNA from 1 species